AUAAAAAUUUGAGAACUGUUAUAUGAUUUCAAAUGGGUUUGUUUUAGUUUCUUAUUUUUAUGCAUGAUUAUUAAUAAAGAGAAAAAAUUUUGAUCUAUUUAGUUAAUAGUGCCUUUCUUCUUUCUCUCUUCUUUUUGCUUUGUUCUUCUUCCAAUGUUUAAUUUUUAGUCUUGUAAUUGAUAUAUGAUUUCAAAUGGGUUUUUUGUUUCCUUAAGUGGGUUUGUUUUAGUUUCUCAUUUUUAUGCAUGAUUAUUUAUAAAGAAAUUUUUGAGCCAUUUAGUUAAUAGUGCCUUUCCUCUUUCUCUCUUCUUUUUUGUUUUGUUCCUCUUCCAAUGUCUAAUUUUCACUCUUGUAUAUGAAUUUUUAAAGAAUUGAUAUAUGAUUUCAUAUGGGUUUUUUUUUUGUUUCCUUAAAUGGAUUUGAUUUAGUUUCUCAUUUUUAUGCAUGAUUAUUAAUAGAGAAAAAAUUUGAGCUAUUUAGUUAAUAGGGCCUUUCCUUCUUUCUCUCUUCUUUUUGCUUUGUUCUUCCAAUUUCUAAUUUUCACUCUUGUAUAUAAAGUUUUGAGGAGUUUUGAUAUGAUUUCAAAUGGGUUUUUUUGUUUUCUGAAAUGGGUUUGUUUGGUUUCUAAUUAUUAUGAAUAUUAGUAAUAAAUUAAAAAAAAUAGAGAUAUGUGCGAUUUGGCAUCUUAUACAUAUUCAGAAUCGAACCUAUUUAUAGUUAUUAUAGUUUCAUGAAUUAGAAGGAUGUUUUAUGUUGAUGUUGAUUAUUCAUUGCAUUAGAAUUUAUGAAAUGUAAAGUCAAACAAAUUCUCAUUCAUCCCCCACAAAAAAUACUUAGCUUUUUAUACAGAUUUUUGUGUAUUUUUACUCUUUUUACUUUGUUUCUACUUUUAUACAUAAAAUCAUUAUAUAAGAUUCCUCCCAAAAAAGUUGAGAGAGGUCUUUUGAAUUGAAGAUGAUUCUACACCUUAAGCAACUUGAGUUCUUCAAAACAGAAGAUAAAGAUUCUUCCUGGGAGUUUUUCAACUUGUUCUAUAUAUUUAGGCUACUUAGGUGUUUUGGUUCAUAAUAAAACAUCAAAUUUAGAGGUCCUUUCUAUUUUUGGAAGCUGUAAAACUAUUACUUUUCUAUUUUAGUAUCAUAAAAACCACCCUUUAAACCAGCAGAAAUCCCUGAAUAUGGAUGAUGGUUCCUUCACUCCUUCAAACAAUCCUCCUGUUUUUGGAAACAUUUAUAAUGAUUUAAUGGAUCAACUCUUAGAUGAAGGAUGCUGGUUACAAACAACUGAUGGAUCAAACCUUUUGCAGUCGGGUCAGGGUUUGGGUCAAGGUCCGGGUCAGGGUCAGGGUUCUGUACCAUCAACCUCUAGAGGUUUAAGUUUAAGCUAUCCAUAUUACCCUUUAUUCCCUAGUUUAGAACCAAAUUCUAGCAGUUUGACUGCAGCCCCUCAUCUUAGUAGCUAUCAAAAAUGGAUCCCUAAGGCAGAACAACAGACACCAGAUUCAGAAAAACAGGAUCCAGAAAACCCACAAACUACAACAACCCAAGUACAAAAUCUAUGUUGGGAUGGUAAUGAACUCAAUAGAAUCUUGUGGAUUGCACCUAAGGCUAAUUCAGAUUCUUCAUUUCCUGUGAAAGAUAGAUUGGUAAAAGCAAUAUAUAACUUAAAAGAAAUGAAUAAACAUAGAGAUGUGCUUAUUCAGUUAUGGGUACCUAUAAGAAAAGGGGUACAUAGUUUCCUUACAACUGUUGAGCAACCUUACUUCUAUAAAGAUUCAAGUCAAAGAUUACAGAAUUAUAGAGAUGUAUCAGAGAAGUAUGAGUUCUUAGCAGAUGAAGAUACUAAACAGGCACUCGGAUUGCCUGGGCGAGUCUUCCUUGGCAAAGCACCUGAAUGGACACCUGAUGUAAGGUUAUUCAGGCAUGAUGAGUAUCCUCGAAUCGAUUAUGCUCGUAAGUAUGAUGUUCGUGGCUCCAUUGCUCUUCCGGUUUUUGAAAAAGGCAGUGGUGAUUCCUUGGGUGUUGUUGAAAUUAUCAUGACUACUGAUGAUUUUGAUUAUCGUCCUGAAGUUGAAAGUGUUUGUAAAGCUCUCGAGACUUUUCACCUUAGGAGUUCAGGAACCCUUAACAUGGCUCAAGAACAGGUAGGAAAAGGAUCUAAUGAAGCUGUACAUCCUGAAAUCCUAAACGUAGUAAGAACUGUAUGUGAAACGUUCAAUUUACCUUUGGCUCAAACAUGGGCUCCAUGUACACAACAAAGAAAAGCCGGGUGUUGGCAUUCUGAAAACAAUUCCAAUUGUAUUUCAGUCAUUGAAUCUGCUUGUUACGUACGUGAUCAAGGAGUUCAGGAUUUUCACAAAGCCUGCUCUCAUCAUCACCUAUUGAGAAAGCAAGGAGGUAUAGUUGGAAAAGCAUUCGAGACUAAUCAACCGUGCUAUGCUACUGAUGUAACAGAGUUCAGUAAGGUUGAGUAUCCUCUUUCUCAUCACGCGAAGAAAUUUGGGUUGCGUGGUGCAGUAGCAUUAAGGCUUCGUGGUCUUUAUAGUGAGGUGUAUGAUUAUGUUUUAGAAUUGUAUUUGCCGUCAAAUAUCCAAGAAAAAGGGCUAGCUUUCCAUGCUAGGAUAUGCCAGGCAGUAACGACAAUAAUGCAACAGAACUGUCAGUAUUUGCAGCUUGUCACAGACUACGGUUUUGAAGAGAAGGUGAAAGAAGCAUUCUGGCUUUCGCAGAUGACGGAACCCCAAAGAAAGGGUAAAGGGGUAGUCGUUUCAUUGGAAUUUGGUGAGGAGGAGCCUAGCAAAGGAUUCAAAGUGAUGAACUGGAGUGAAAACGAGCCAAGUUUACAGCUCGGGCAGGCUCUUUCUGAUGAAAAUACCAACCAAGAUAAUUCAGGGUCAAAAGGUAUAAGUGGUUCUGGUUCAUCAUCUGGCGGCCGAUUUCCCCUUGGUUGUAGAAAAGCUGGCGAAAAGAGAAGGACAAAAACUCAAAAAUCUAUCAGUUUGGAUGUGCUCAGGCAAUAUUUUGCCGGUAGCCUAAAAGACGCUGCCAAAAAUAUUGGAGUUUGCCCUACAACCCUGAAAAGGAUAUGUAGGCAGCAUGGGAUUGCUAGAUGGCCUUCUAGAAAGAUCAAGAAGGUGGAUCAUUCCUUGAGGAAACUUCAACUAGUGAUUGACUCGGUGCAAGGUGCUGAAGGUUCCAUCCAACUAUCUUCUUUCUAUACAAAUUUCCCUGAACUUAAUAGUCCAAAUGCACAACUAAAACCCAAUCAAACUUCCUCUAUAAACUUAAACAAACAACCAAAGCAACAACUAACUACUCAACCCGAGGGAAGUGUUUUCCCUUCAGGAGCUACAACUUCCAACUCCCCCGCCUCGACUUCAUCUAGCCAAACCUCGACUUCUAGCUAUUGCUUCUCAAGUGGAGCAAAACUUACAUCAUCUGCCGUGACAACCAUUGCCUCGGAGAGUAAGGAAGCAUUAGCCGUAGAGGAUGAUCCUGGCGGGUCCUUAAAGAGGGCCCGAAGUGAGGCAGAAUUACAAGCCCUGAAUAAGAAAGAAACCAAUCAAAAUCUAGAAAGAUCACAGAGCAAUAAAACUCUAGCUGAACAUCCUUCUUUUGAAUCUUUACCCCCUUUACCAGUAACUAAAAGUUUGCUUUCAAGAGAGGCAGGUGUGUUUCGAGCUAAAGCUAGUUACGGGGAGGAAAAAGUCCGAUUCUCUAUCUUACCGAACACGGGAUUCCUAGACUUGCAACAAGAGAUAGUGAAAAGAUUUAGUUUGGAAGAUUUAAGUAAGAUGGGUAUAAAGUAUUUAGAUGACGACAAAGAAUGGGUACUAUUAACAUGUGAUGCUGAUUUAGAGGAAUGUAUAGAUAUACAUAAAUCGUCUGGAAGCCACACAAUCAAGCUAUCUAUUUCGCCUCUUUCAAGCUUAGCCGGUUCUUUUGGUAGCAGCGGAUUAUCCUAACUUCAGAAUUUGCCUUCCUUGUUUUGAUGCUAUGGAACUUUGAUGUUUAACAAUAUCAGCAGGUUCAGUACAUGAUUAGCUCAGACAUGCUGGGUCUCUUAGGAGGACUUACCCAGCAUAGCAGGCUGUUUAAUGGAGUCGUUCGCUCAGUUCGAUUGUUACAAUGAAGGAGGCAAAAAGAUCUUGGUUAUGAUACAUCGCAUCAUAUUCAAAACUUCUGAUGGAUUUUCAUAGGAUAAUGAGGUAAUCAUUUGGUUUUCCAAUCUUGCCUAUGGCAUGUUCAGGGUCUUUCGUAUUCAUUUGCAGAGGAUUCCACUAGCCGCAACCUCCUCAUCUCUUUUAAUAUGGGACAGGUACAUCCAGCUUGAACUUUGCAGUAUUGAACAAAUCAUAUUUCAAGUUUUUCGUAAGAGAUUAUCGAUAACAAUUCCAUGGAUCGAUAUCAGAACAACGCAAAGAAAACAACAAGGUUGAUCAAAAAUGGUUGAAUGGUACUAAAGGCUGAAAGCAUUGUGAUUUGUGGCUGAUACUGAUUAAUUCCUACUGUAUAUUUCAACUUGGAGUAGGCUAAAAGUGUUGUAUUAUACAGACUACAUGCUUGCAUAUUGACUAGAAGCAUUGAUAGUUUGAAGUUUGGUAAUUGUGGUGUCUAGAAGACCCUAAAAUCUGAAAUUUUUGUUGUACUAUGGUUUUUAAGUACAAUGGUUUUUUGAGUAUUUGUUCAUUUGAUGCCUUUAUAUUCCAACUACUGUCUUUUGGUUCAACCUCUCUGAGUUUUGUUAUCUAUUUGUAUAAUAGCAAAGUGACUCUUGAUAUGUAUUAAGAUUAGAGGGAAUUUAGGUUCGAGUUUGCCUAGGUCAUAACUUCAUCAUUUGAUUUAAAACUUCAUUAAUGUACUCCGAAUAGUGUUACAUGUAGUACAAAACUUCCUAUAACACAUGUAGAGGUUAUGAGUAUUUGGCUUACUCUAUACUAGUAUUUUGAAUUUGUCCUGAUGUUUCAUAUCCGAUAGAUGG